rnacentral:rRNA from 1 species
ACAGGAUUAGAUACCCUGGUAGUCCAUGCCGUAAACGUUGGGCACUAGGUGUGGGGGACAUUCCACGUUCUCCGCGCCGUAGCUAACGCAUUAAGUGCCCCGCCUGGGGAGUACGGUCGCAAGGCUAAAACUCAAAGGAAUUGACGGGGGCCCGCACAAGCGGCGGAGCAUGCGGAUUAAUUCGAUGCAACGCGAAGAACCUUACCCAAGGCUUGACAUACACCAGAUCGUCCUGGAAACAGGUCCUCCUCUUUGAGGUUGGUGUAACAGGUGGUGCAUGGUUGUCGUCAGCUCGUGUCGUGAGAUGUUGGGUUAAGUCCCGCAACGAGCGCAACCCUCGUUCUAUGUUGCCAGCACGUGAUGGUGGGAACUCAUAGGAGACUGCCGGGGUCAACUCGGAGGAAGGUGGGGAUGACGUCAAAUCAUCAUGCCCUUUAUGUCUUGGGCUUCACGCAUGCUACAAUGGCUGGUACAGAGAGAUGCGAGACCGCGAGGUUUUAGCGAAUCCCUUAAAGCCAGUCUCAGUUCGGAUCGUAGUCUGCAAUUCGACUACGUGAAG